rnacentral:piRNA from 1 species
UAACUACUGAUCAGUGAUGGCUCCCA